rnacentral:rRNA from 1 species
UACAGAGGGGGCAAGCGUUGUUCGGAAUUACUGGGCGUAAAGGGCGCGUAGGCGGCCUGCUAAGUCGAACGUGAAAUCCCCGAGCCCAACUCGGGAACUGCGUCCGAUACUGGCAGGCUUGAAUCCGGGAGAGGGAUGCGGAAUUCCAGGUGUAGCGGUGAAAUGCGUAGAUAUCUGGAGGAACACCGGUGGCGAAGGCGGCAUCCUGGACCGGCAUUGACGCUGAGGCGCGAAAGCCAGGGGAGCAAACGGG